GGCAUUGUGCGAUAGUGGUUAUUCGGCGAGACUUGAAUUUUGACUUCAAAGUUAUCUCGUGCCGUCAGGCUCACAGGUUCGAGCCCUGUCAAUGUCG